CAGUCGCCACGGUAAUACGAAGGGGGCUAGCGUUGCUCGGAAUUACUGGGCGUAAAGCGUGCGCAGGCGGUUUUGUAAGACAGGCGUGAAAUCCCCGGGCUCAACCUGGGAAUGGCGCUUGUGACUGCAAAGCUAGAGUGCGGCAGAGGGGGAUGGAAUUCCGCGUGUAGCAGUGAAAUGCGUAGAUAUGCGGAGGAACACCGAUGGCGAAGGCAAUCCCCUGGGCCUGCACUGACGCUCAUGCACGAAAGCGUGGGGAGCAAACAGGAUUAGAUACCCCUGUAGUCCCUGUCUCUUAUAC
rnacentral:rRNA from 1 species